AAAAAAAAAAAAAAAAAAAAAACUUAAAGCCGGUCGGACCUUCUGGUCCGAUGGGUCCGACCAUCGGACCCAUCGGACCCGAAGGUCCGACCAUCGGACCCUUUCUUCCUCUCUCUCCAGACUCGCAAAAAAAAAAAAAAAAAAAAAAAAUUCAAAGGUCCGACCAUCGGACCUUUGUCUUCUUCCCUCUCUCAAAUCGCAGGAAAAAAAAAAAAAAAAGUUUCAGAGAAAAUCGCA